CAAAAUGUAGCUUAAUUAAAGCAUCUCGCUUACACCGAGGAUAUAUCUGUGAUACCCAGAUCAUUUUGA
rnacentral:tRNA from 1 species